GCACAGACACAUACUGUAUCUAUUGAUUUAACGACACACAUAGACACGGUAGAGGUUCCUCUUGGCCAAUGGGAUACCAGGAAGAUGCUCAGUAAUAGCCAGUGGCAGAGCAGCUAUAAGUAUGUUGCAUUCAGGAAACUCAGACGGCAUUUUUACAUUUC